rnacentral:lncRNA from 1 species
CGGGUGGGCGUGGGCUUGGCGGGCCCCGCACUGGGAGCAGCCGACCGGCCCUGCCGGCCCGGGAAAUGAGGGGCUUAGCACCUGGGCCAGCGGCUGCGGAGGGUGUACUGGGUCCCCCAGCAGUGCCAGCCCACCGGCGCUGCGCUCGAUUUCUCACAGGGCCUUAGCUGCCUUCCCGCGGGGCAGGGCUCGGGACCUGCAGCCCGCCAUGCCUGAGCCUCCCACCCACUCCAUGGGCUCCUGUGCGGCCCGAGCCUCCCUGAUGAGCGCCACCCCCUGCUCCACGGCGCCCAGUCCCAUCGACCACCCAAGAGCUGAGGAGUGCGGGCGCCCGGCGCCGGACUGCAGCCUGCCAUAUUGCUGAAGGUUUGUGAGACACAGCCUAGAAGUUUGUUAUCAAUCCUCAUUGGUUGAGGCUCCUCCUGCUGUAGUUGAAGACUGU